GGUUUGUGUGACAUGAAGACUGGUCUACCGAUAAACAACAAUGUUAAUAGGUCCUUUGGGCUGAACAUUUUAAAUUGUCAAAUGUGUGCUGCUUAUUUACCAAUUCGGUUUUCUGUUUUCCUCUUUCUUUUCCCAGCGAGAAAGGACACCCUCUAAUUCUGCCAUUCAGGAACUUAAAGGAAUUUUGGUAAUGGAUACUUUUAAUGAUACCCCUUUUUGUGGUAUUUUUCUUGUUGUUUUGUAUGAAAACUACCAGAAUAAACAGUAAUUGACAUAAUAUGCCGCUACUUUUAUAACAAAUGUUAGAUUUCAGUCGUUAAAAAGUUAUUCGCAAGACCAUACCAGAAUCUUUUUCCCUUUAUGUUCAAACUGUAAAGGACACUUUCAAAAGGCCCUCCCCCCACCUAAAAACUGGAUCUCCGUCAACAAACGCAGAGUCUGAGCUGGAGAGAGUUCUACAGAGACGGCGGGGAGCAUUUGAGACCUCACAGGAAAGUUGUUUGCCGUCAUCACCGUGUCCCUUCCCCAGCAGUGUGCUGGAUGUCGACAGGGUAAGAACAGCCAAGCCCCAGACCAAACAGACGUCCCAGGAGUCCCAGGACAAUGUUCCGUUCUAGGCCCGCUCAGUGGAACCGAGUCCUGGUUUAAAGCGGCCCAGGGCCCUGGGUAAGCCUGGUGCACUGUGGUUUCAUGUUAGAUUAAGCUGUGAUGUCUUCACACUGCUGCCUGUUUGGUAGUGUGGAGGGAGUGCACUAGCAUGAAGGAUUACCAUGGUGCAAUUGAUUUAGGUGAAAUGAAAUACUUUGUUCCCACAACCAGAAGCGUUGUUUAAAUUCCCUUAAUGGUGAAGGUGAGGCCCAAAUUAUUGACACAGUCUUUGUUUGCACUGUCGGCAGGCUUUUGUAGCAUUGAACAUUUGCCAAAGCAAGUAUGUCUUUAAAUUGGUCUGUCUAGACCAGUAUUAACCUUGUAGCCUCCCAGUGAGCAAUUACAGGGCACUGUGGCAGAUUUUGUUUCCACUACUCUCGGUCGAUACUCCCCCGGUCUUUCAUGGACCAAGAUUUCUUUUGCCAACGGAACCUCUCUUGCAUCAGGCUGUGCAGGUGUUAUUUAGAGGCGGUAUUGUGAAGAUUUUGAUGGCAGAAUUAAUUGGUCACCAUUGGCUAUUUCAACACUAAAGAAUUUCAAGCAUGUGAAUAUACACGUUGUAGCUGGCAGUUCUGGAGAUUCAGAUUUGAGUCCAGUGCUUGGCAUGUCAGCUUGAGGUUAAGCUGUUCUUCUAGGUGUUUCUUAUGGACCAAUUGGAUUGGGAUCAACCUCCCCACAGAACGCCACAAUGACCAUCAUGCUUAGUUGACCGUAAGGAUGGGCUUUUUUUGUUUUCCCUCACCUGCACAAAAUGAUUGGACUAUUUUUGAAGUGAGGGGGAAUGCGAGAGCCAUGGUGAUGUUCCAUAGCCAUUGUGUGGGACACUAAUUAAGGCUUUGGGCCUCAUUUGCCACCAGGCAUAAUUUCCACUUGGAGAACAGCUGAAAGAAAGGGAUAAAUCCCCUAAGGUUGUAAAGGAAAUUCAGUUUAAGUGACUUUUCUUUAAUGCCAUCGUGUUUGUAUACAUAUACUUCCCCAAAAGCAUGUAUGAGGAUUAAGUGUCCUGUAUUCGAUUUAUCUUUCAGAGGCCUCAAGCGGUGCUCAGACUUCGAAUUAAGACCGUUUGGCUCUGCACAUCCAUUCAUCAGUUGACUGCCCCAAUAUACAGACGGGGCUACAAUAUUGUCGGAAGAGGAAGUCACGUUGUAAUUUUAUUUAACAGAAGACUUCACCUAAACAAUGGACGUGCAGACAGAGAGAGCUGUGGACAAGGGGAUUUAGCAUGGACCAAGGACCCGGAAAUGACUAAUUGUGCAGAUUGACAUGUUUUGCUGUAGCUGUCCAUUUUCUCAUGUUGAAGGAAGAUGAGUUUAACUAAGACUUAACGCCGAUAACACCCAAGGAGAUGCGAGUGUCACUGAGCAGCCAACCUUGCUUGAUUAAGUCACUCGACCUAGUGGAAAGACAGGAAGCUAGGGAAAGGGCGAGAGCGAGGACGAUCAUACUUUAGUAAUAAUGGAUGUUAUUGCAGAAAAUGGAGGCACAGGCCAGGAUUCAAACACUAAAAGAUUAACCACUUUAUACUGAUCUUGAUUCAGAAGUGUGAAAUAUUCCUUGAUUCCAACUGAGUUUAACUGUAAAAAUGGCAUCGGAAUGUGUUCGACCACCUGAUUAAUAUAUCAUGCAGAAAAUGAAGCAUGCAUGCAUUAAGAGUAAAAAAAAUAAGAUUUGUUAUGGCAGUUUCCCCCAUUGCAGUACAAUGUCAGUAAUGUGUGUAUGUUAGAACCCCAGCCUCAGUCUCCCUCAACCUUUUUCAUCUGAUUGCACUUGAAAAGUAUGACCGUGUUAGUUGUUAAGUAUUUCUUUCCGAAACUGAUUUGAGAAGUCAAAGACAGUAUGAACGACUGCACCCAGCUGACACUUGUUUUUUCUCCAGAACUGUUGUUUUCAGACAACUGACAGCUAACCAUUGAAACAGUCAGUGACCUAGUCAAUGCCUUUCCCUGCUUCAUCUUCAGCGAUCUGUCGUCUGACAUUGACUGACAAGCAGUAAACAUUCUGUCGAUCAGGGCGACCAUGUAAUUACCUAGCGCCAUGCUGCGCCCGUUUUUUUGCUAGUUUGGUUAGAGCCAUCUUUACUGCUCUCUAUUUCUCAAUCAAUCAAAUAUAUUUUAUAAAGCCCUUUUUACAUCAGCAUUUGUCACCAAGUGCUUAUACAGAUGUUUUUCUAUUUAUUUUGCCAUCAGUCGAUACAAUGCAAUGUUGUCGUUUUUCCCUCCCAGAGGGUUUGGCAAUUAGGAUGUCCCUUUUUAGUGUGUCUGGGAAACACUUAAUUUAGCCUAUUUUGUUAGUCAUUUCGUUUAUUUUCCAAACACAGUAAUUGCCUAGUGGGGAGCCAUGGUUGCUCAGGGCCAACGCACAGGCCCGCUUUGUUUCUGUCCUCAAUGUCUGGCUAACCACACUCAUUGAUUAGAGGACGUCUGUAGAUCCGGUAGACUCAAUCACUCUUUUUCUAUAUUUCUCUCCUCUCUUGGUUUGGCUGGAUGUCUAUAUUCUCACAUUAAUCAACUAUUUGCAUUACAUCCUAUAAGCAACGCUAACCUAACCACGUUGAGGCCAAGUGAAAUCCAGUCUUUUAUAGCGAUUACAAUCAUUCAGAGCAAUCAUGCUUUGUUCCAUAUGAACAUAUUACUGAAUGACAUGCCUACCUAAGUUAUGAUAGUUGUGAAGUAAAGCCAACUUAAGUAAAGAUACUCAUAGACGUAUAGGGGGGGAAAUGAAUCAAGUAAAUUGAUAAGUUAAAUACAGUAAUUAAUGGGCAAUCACGUGACUAAAUCAACGUUCUCUUUUGAG
ensembl:lncRNA